AAUAACUUUAUUUUUCAGUUUUCUAAUACAAUAUUUUGACUCAUCGUCUUAUUUGAAUUUUUUGUGAUUAAUAUUUUUAUUGUUACUAGAUGAUAAAAUAUGAAUAAUAUUUUAUGCAUAACUAAUUUUUUUAAGUUUUUAUACAAAUUUUUUAACUAAGACGAAUGGUCAAACAUUAGAUACGAAAAA
rnacentral:pre_miRNA from 1 species